UACGAAGGGGGCUAGCGUUGCUCGGAAUCACUGGGCGUAAAGGGUGCGUAGGCGGGGCUUUAAGUCAGGGGUGAAAUCCUGGAGCUCAACUCCAGAACUGCCUUUGAUACUGAGGAUCUUGAGUUCGGGAGAGGUGAGUGGAACUGCGAGUGUAGAGGUGAAAUUCGUAGAUAUUCGCAAGAACACCAGUGGCGAAGGCGGCUCACUGGCCCGAUACUGACGCUGAGGCACGAAAGCGUGGGGAGCAAGCGGG
rnacentral:rRNA from 1 species